rnacentral:rRNA from 1 species
GGGGGAUUGGGGUUCGAUUCCGGAGAGGGUGCCUGAGAAAUGGCAACCAUGACUACGGUCAGCAGCAGGCGCGCAAAUUGCCCAAUGCUAACAAACAGCGAGGCAGCGACGAAAAAUAGCAUCAAUGCGAUCCAUUGGGUCACAUUAUGCAAUGGACUGUAUCUAGUAAACACUGUUGAGUAACUAUUGGAGGGCAAGUCUGGUGCCAGCAGCCGCGGUAAUUCCAGCUCCAAGAGCGUAUAUAAACGUUGUUGCGGUUAAAAAGCCCGUAGUUGGAUUUGAGGGCAUGGUUUGUCGAUUUCACCUUCUGACCCGCGAGGGAAGGAAGGUGAUCGACGUUACUCCAUGCUCUGAGACAUGCGGGAACGUCCACUGGCCGAAGGGUCCUUUACUGGAUCUGGAAGCAACUUCGGAGAGCCUAUACUCCUCCAGGUGCGCCCGCAGACGUCACUGUGAAUAAACCAGAGUGUUCAAGGCAACCUUUGUGGUUGAAUGUUAAAGCAUGGAAUGACAAGGGAUCGGCCUACGGGCCUCUUUUUGUUGGUUCUUUAAGCCUUGUAUGAGAAUCCGGAGUCUUCUGGGGUGGCGUCUUUCGACGCUUCACUGGGGAUUCCUCGGGAUCAAUAGGAGCACAGGGGGCUAUGGGUACUCGUGGGCUAGUGGUGAAAUACAGUGACCCCACGAAGACCGACAUCAGCGAAAGCACUUGGCUAUUGUGCUUUCAUUAAUCAAGGACGAGAGAUCGGGGAUUGAAGAGGAUUAGACACCCUCGUAAUCCGUUCUGUAAAUUCUGCAGACUUGGGAUCGGUCACACUCGUUCAGGUGUGAUCGGCACCUUUUUUCCCUAUCGAGAAAUCAAAGUUUUUGUGUUCCGGGGGGGGUACAUUCGCAAGGCUGAAACUUAAAGGAAUUGACGGAGAACCACCACCAGUCGUGGAGUGUGUGGCUUAAUUCGACACAACACGGGAAAUUUUACCAGGCCAGGACGUGGUGAGGAUUGCCAGAUUGAUAGCUCUUGCAUGAUUCCACGAAGGGUGGUGCAUGGCCGCUUCUGGUUGGUGAAGUAAUUUGUCUGCUUAAUUGCGAUAACGAACGAGAUCUCUGCCAAUUACUAGACUGCUGUGUCGACGUCGGUUGUCGCGGCAACGCCUUCGGGCUUGUUCUUGCGACGCCAAGACGCAGUGCGUUACUUAUUGGGAUUAUGCGUUUCCAAGCGCAUUGAAACAAGAGCCCAAAGCAGGUCUGUGAUGCUCCUAUAUGUUCUGGGCUGCACGCGCACUACACUGAUUCAGACAUCGAGCUUCUGCAAACGCAGCCUAAUCCGAAGGGAUUGGGGAAUCUUUUGAGCCUGAGUCGUGAUGGGGAUUGAUGAUUGUAAUUAUUCUCCAUGAACGAGGAAUGUCUUGUAGCCGCGUUUCAUCAGAACGCAGCGAAUACGUCCCUGGUUCUUGUACACACCGCCCGUCGUUGCCUGUGAUGGAUUGCGAGUAGAGCCAUCAGGAGGUGGGUCUUGGGGCGACUCAGGUCUCGCCAAAUUUUGGCAAUACUCUCAAUCUAGAAGAGGCAAAAGUCGUAACAAGGUA